GUCGCCUAGAGGUCAAUGGCAGGGGACUGUAAAUCCCCCGCGUUUACGCUACGUGGGUUCAAAUCCCACCUAAGCCACCA
rnacentral:tRNA from 1 species